rnacentral:rRNA from 1 species
CACGCCGUAAACGUUGUGCACUAGGUGUAGGAGGUAUCGACCCCUUCUGUGCCGCAGCUAACGCAUUAAGUGCACCGCCUGGGGAGUACGGUCGCAAGACUGAAACUCAAAGGAAUUGACGGGGGCCCGCACAAGCGGUGGAGCAUGUGGUUUAAUUCGAGGCAACGCGAAGAACCUUACCCAGGCUUGACAUCUCGGGAAUUCUUUCGAAAGAGAGAAGUGCCCUUCGGGGAGCCCGAAGACAGGUGU